rnacentral:rRNA from 1 species
GGGUCAGUAGGUUGGUCGUGCCACCGGUACGUACUGGUCUCACUGAUUCCUCCUCCCCGAAGAACCGUAAUGCCAUUAAUUUGGUGUUGCGGGGAAACAGGACUGUUACUUUGAAAAAAUUAGAGUGUUUAAAGCAAGCUAACGCUUGAAUACAUUAGCAUGGAAUAAUGAAAUAGGACGAUCGAUCCUAUUUUGUUGGUUUCUAGGAUUGACGUA